rnacentral:tRNA from 1 species
AACUUUGUAGCCCAGUUGGUUAGAGCGCUGCACCGGAAUCGCAGGGCCGUAGGUUCAAUUCCUACCAGAGAAC